rnacentral:rRNA from 1 species
AUGGCUUCUUCUUCCUUCGUCGCUUUCGUGGCUCUAGCCAGCAGCUGCCUCCUCAUCCUCCAUUCGCGCAGCGUCUCCGGCUGGUCUGACGGCGGCGCGACGUGGUACGGUCCCCGCCACGGCGCCGGCUCUGACGGUGGUGCGUGCGGGUACCAAGGCGACGUGGAGAAGCCGCCGUUCUCCGCCAUGAUCACGGCGGGUGGCCCCUCCAUAUUCAAUGGCGGCAAGGGCUGCGGCGCUUGCUAUCAGGUUAGAUACAUCGGCAAUUCCGCUUGCUCUGGGUCCCCGGCGACCGUGGUCGUCACAGACCAGUGCCCCGGCGGGCCGUGCCAGGCUGAGGCUGCGCACUUCGACCUCAGCGGGAAAGCGUUCGGCGCCAUGGCCAAGCCCGGACAGGAUGACAACCUCCGCAACGUCGGCAAGCUUAGAAUCCAGUACAACCGGGUUCCGUGCAACUGGCAUGGGCUCGACAUCGCCUUCAAGGUGGACGCCGGCUCCAACCCCAACUACCUUGCGGUGCUCAUUGAGGACGAGGCCGGCGACGGAGACCUGUCUGCGGUCGAGCUUCAGCAGCGCGGCGGCAGCUGGGCGCCGAUGCAGGAGUCGUGGGGCGCGGUCUGGAAGUACAACGCCGGGUCCACUCUGCAGGCACCCAUAUCGUUCCGCCUCACCUCCGGCUCCGGCAAGAAGCUCGUCGCCAGGAAUGUCAUCCCCGCCGGCUGGCAGGCCGGCAAGACCUACCGAUCCAUCGUAAACUUCCAGUGA